AGUCCAUGGUGUGGGCAUUUCGUAACAAAUUUUUAAAUCUUUCCCACGCUUCAUAUAAUGAUUCAUCAUCUUAUUGACUAAAACUAGUAAUGUCCAUUCUAAAUUU